AGUUCCAUUUUGACACGGAGAGUGCAAAGGUGUUAUGAUAUGGAAGAAAAGGCUACAAAGGCUUAUGAUUUGGUAACACUGUUUUGAAAUUUAUCUCUGCACUAGAUGGUCGUGAGGGAAAUUCAAGUGCUGAUAUUCUUCUGAAUUUUAUGGGUGGUCGUUUGUCAAGAAUAACUACUGCUUCAGUCACCUAUCCACUAUAUUUUGUGAAGACACAGCUUGCUGCAAAGGUAAUAUAGUAAAACUUCAUAUAGAACUACCGAAAAAGAAAAGAUUAACAUAAAUCAUGAGGACAACAUACACAACUUAUUUUCAAUAAAUUUGGCUGGGGACAUAAUAGCUGGAAUAGAAAUAGAGUUAUGCCCGAUGAAGCUACUCUUUACCUUAUAAAAUUUAUUCAAAAUCUAUUUUAAUUCUUUUCAUGCUUUCUUCGGAGUGUAGAGCCUUCGUUUGAUGUUUUUUAACAGAACCCAUAAUAUAGACAGUCUCCACCACUCAUAUAUAAUGGUUGAUUAUUUACCUUGUCGGCAGUAUACAAUAAUUGGAAGAAAUUUCCUAUCUAUCCUCUUGAACUAAAGUUGAAAUGAAAAAGGUUAUUGGUCAAAUUGUCCACACAUGUAAUUUUAACUCUAUUCAUAAACAUUUUUAUCCCAAACAUUCAGAUUUUACAAAAUACAUAUUAUAUUGGUCUUUUGUCAUUUUAUCUAUUUGUAUGAUAUAAAAUAAUUUUACAAUAUCUCUGCAUAUAUUUACUAAUUUUGAAACUUUAUGUUUGCAUUGCAAAUAUACUUUACAAUUUAAUUUUAUUUAUGUGUAGUCUAGACAAACUAAUUAUGAAAUUUUGUCUUAUGUUAUGUCUUAUUUCUUCCUUGCUGUAAAAAAGAAGUGAAUGAGAAAAGUUCAAAAUGUCCUUCCUGAAGAAAGGUAAUUUUUUAAAUCCAUUUCUUCUGCUUCUAUAUAUCUUAUAGAUUUCUUCAAUGUCUUGGUCACUUUUUGUUAUAUAUUUAUGGUAUAAAUAUAAAAUGAGAAAGAAAUAAUCAAAUUAGAUAAAGUGCCAGAGUGGUGGGAAAUGUGGCUUCUGUGUGGUGAAGACUAUUACUUCCAUCUUACCUAUAUAAACCAAUAUCCUGUUUUGGAAAAAAGACACACAAAAAGAAAAUAGAAAAACCAUCUUGCAUCAAUCUUCCUUCUCAUAUUCUGAAUUUCUUAUAUUCGUGUUUUUUACAUAUAUUUUGGAGUAAAAUUGAGAGUUCUUGAUAAACCAUUCGUGAUUGCUGCACAAGUGGUUUAUGAUCGUUGUAUUCUGGGAGUGAUUGUCCACGGAGGUCGCAGCAAUUAUCGACGGGCAAUUUCACUUUAGGACAUUGUGCUGUCGCGAGACUCGAUCGGACGAUCAAUUUUAUAUUUCUGCAUUAUAUUGUUCUGAUCACUACUGCAACUAAAUAUCUUUUCCAACACUUUUGUAUUCAUUGGAAGGUUAUAAUGUUAGGUUAUCACAUGUAGGCACUUAAACUUGCAAAAUAGCUUUUUUGUUUCCACUUCUUGUUUAACAGCAUCUAACAUUUAAGUUUCAGGUCAUUAAUGCCACUAGCAAUGAGACCUGGGGCACUCAUGGAUCUCUUCGUGCUGAUAUUGCUCAAGCAUAAAAAAAAAUUAUUAAGUUUAAUGAAUCUUCCUUGUCUUCUCGAUCAUCCUAUUCAUCAUAAAUUAUUCAUUUUUUAUUUCAAUAAUCACGAGUAUUAGAUAAUUAUGGCAGUAAUCUCAAAGCACAUCAAUGAUACUAGAAAAAAUUGGCGUCAAGUCUAAAAGGGUUUUUUCCCCUUAUUUACAAAGAAGUUGUUGGUUUUGUCAUUGAAAUUCUUUUCUAUGCAAGCUUACUGAAAUAUCAUGUUAUAUAUUUUUACUCAGUUUUCCCCUUUGAUUAGUUUUUUCUAAAUCUUAUCACCUCUUAAUUUAUUCUUUCUUAUUCCUCUUAAAUAUUUUAUACUAUAUUGUUUAUGUUAUCAUUUAAUACGUUCAUAAUACAUUAAUACCUACAAUUGAUGGCAAAUUGAUUCAGACAUAAAUGGUUUUUUUAUUCAAUUUGAAAUGAUAAAUACACAUCUCAAGGGUGUUUUAUUUGCACCUUCAAAUAAAUUUGCAAUGUACAUUACCUAUUCUUUUGAGUUUUUUUUUUUUUCCUAGAAAUGGUGCAUUCUUAUUACUUGCUUUCAUAUAAGUUAGUUCUUCUAAUCCUAUAUUCUUCUUUAAACAUUAAAUCCAUAUCAACAUUAAAAAUGCUAAUAUUACGUUCAAAAUAAUCCGACCCGUGCAUUGCACGGGCAACAAACUAGUAUCACUACAAAAGGCAUUUCUAUAGUAGCUACAACACGGUAGAAGAAGGAUCAAUAGCUAUUUUUCAUCUGCGUGGAAAUUUAAGUACGAUUUCCAGCAAUAGUAACUAUAUCAUUGCUGAUCGUGUGAGCUUUUGGGAUUCAAAUUUCUUGGUGUAUUCUAUAAUUUCACAAUUCUAUGUAAUUUUUCAUUCUUAGCUAUACUGCAAUUGUCGAGAAAUUGUUGAUUAUCCAUACUGCACUGCAUUAGAAAUUCUGAAAAUUUAAGAACCCUGAUCUGAGUAUACACUGCUGUUGGUUUAAUUUUUUCAAGAGGCACUUCGAUAGAAACGCUAGAAGGGUACCGAGCAUCAGCAGCUGGAAUUUUUUCAAGAAUUGAACGUACGUUGCACAAGAUUUCAAAAUUCUCUUUAUUAUACAACCCAGUUCUAUCCAAUUCUCCCACCACAACAUGGCAAAAGAAUAUAAAGGGAUAAAGAGUUAUGUUGAAUAGUGAUAUGCUUGGAAGAGAUGUAAAGGGGAAAGGAAAGGAAAAGAGAAGAGAAGCAGAAUCCUUGCUUAGAUACAGAAGCAAAGUGGUGUGUCCCAUUCUUUCAAUUUUCCAUAUGAUUUCUUCAAGCAUAUGUUCCAAAUGCAUCUCAACACAUUUUCUCGUUAUUCUCAUUCUCUAGAGGGAAAAAUAUGUAUUUUUGCUUUCAUCUAAUUUAGGUACUACUUGAUACCUUUUGACUAAAAAUUUUGCUCAA